UCCCUGGUGGACUAGUGGCUAGCAUGUGGCGCCCUGAUCGCCACAGUGUGGGUUUGAUUCCUGGUCAGGGAA